AAUAGAUACCCAGGUAGUCCACGCCGUAAACGAUGAGUACUAGCUGUCGGAGGUUACCCCCUUCGGUGGCGCAGCUAACGCAUUAAGUACUCCGCCUGGGAAGUACGCUCGCAAGAGUGAGACUCAAAGGAAUUGACGGGGGACCCGCACAAGUAGCGGGGCAUGUGGUUUAAUUCGAAGCAACGCGAAGAACCUUACCUAAGCUUGACAUCCUUUUGACCGAUGCCUAAUCGCAUUUUUUCCCUUCGGGGACAGAAGUGACAGGUGGUGCAUGGUUGUCGUCAGCUCGUGUCGUGAGAUGUUGGGUUAAGUCCCGCAACGAGCGCAACCCUUGCCUUUAGUUGCCAGCAUUAAGUUGGGCACUCUAGAGGGACUGCCAGGGAUAACCUGGAGGAAGGUGGGGAUGACGUACAAACCAUCAUGCCCCCUUAUGCUUAGGGCUACACACGUGCUACAAUGGGUGGUACAGAGGGCAGCCAAGUCGUGAGGCGGAGCUAAUCCCUUAAAGCCAUUCUCAGUUCGGAUUGUAGGCUGAAACUCGCCUA
rnacentral:rRNA from 1 species